CCUACGGGUGGCAGCAGUGGGGAAUAUUGCACAAUGGGGGAAACCCUGAUGCAGCGACGCCGCGUGAGUGAUGAAGGCUUUACGUAUGGAAAGCUCUAUCAGCAGGGGAGAUAAUGACGGUACGUGACUACGCCCCUCCAGCUAACUACGUGCCAGCAUCCGCGGUCAUACGUAUGGAGCAAGCGUUAUCCGGAUUUACUGGGUGAAAAGGGUGCGUAGGCGGGCGUUUAGGUCAGCGGUAAAAUUGCGGGGCUCAACCUCGUCGAGCCGUUGAAACUGGGGGCCUUGAGUGGGCGAGAAGAACGCGGAAUGCGUGGUGUAGCGGUGAAAUGCAUAGAUAUCACGCAGAACCCCGAUUGCGAAGGCAGCGUACCGGCGCCCAACUGACGCUGAAGCACGAAGGUGCGGGUAUCGAACAGGAUUAGAUACCCGGGUAGUC
rnacentral:rRNA from 1 species